GCCCGGUAAGCUCAGUCGGAACAGCAUUCGCCCUGUAAGCGAUGUGUCCCGGGUUCGAGUCCCGGACUGGCUG
rnacentral:tRNA from 1 species